UUUUUUUUCUUUUUUCUGAUUAUGGAUCAGUUGUCAAACAUUGUUGUUGUUAACCAGCAAAUAAAACUAAAAUAAAUAAUGGUCGUGCGGCUCUACCAGCCUGUCUUAUCCAGAAUUUGAUUUUGUUUGAUAGAUUCCAGUUCAAGGUGGCAAUUCCCCACAACAUUACUUUGUUCACCGGGGGCAGAAAAAUCACU